CAGCCGAGCGGUAUUGUUUCUUCGGAAAUGAGAGAGCGGCGUACGGGUGCGGAACACGUGUGCAACCUGCCUUUAUCUGGGGGAUAGCCUUUCGAAAGGAAGAUUAAUACUCCAUAAUAUAUUGAACGGCAUCGUUUAAUAUUGAAAGCUCCGGCGGAUAGAGAUGGGCACGCGCAAGAUUAGCUAGUUGGUGAGGUAACGGCUCACCAAGGCAAUGAUCUUUAGGGGGCCUGAGAGGGUGAUCCCCCACACUGGUACUGAGACACGGACCAGACUCCUACGGGAGGCAGCAGUGAGGAAUAUUGGUCAAUGGGUGCAAGCCUGAACCAGCCAUCCCGCGUGAAGGACGACUGCCCUAUGGGUUGUAAACUUCUUUUGUAUAGGGAUAAACCUUUCCACGUGUGGAAAGCUGAAGGUACUAUACGAAUAAG
rnacentral:rRNA from 1 species